AUGCAAUUUCAAUCAUCAAUCUUCAUCAAUUGUUGUAAGAUCUUGUAUCACACCAACACAAUUUCAUGUAAUCUACAACAAUUCCGCUUAUCACCAGUUCACAUGCUGAAACAACACGACAUCGUAACCUGCGUUUUCUUCACAACAUCAACGCAACGUCACCUUCAUCUAUUCAGCAGCGACGAAUUCGUUAGAGUAAUAAUCGAAAUGGAAUCAGAAUCACAGAAGAAGAAAAGACGAAGAAGAACGAAUUACGCACCUGAGUUGUUGGAUUCAUAA